CCUACGGGUGGCUGCAGUGAGGAAUAUUGGUCAAUGGACGAGAGUCUGAUCCAGCCAAGUAGCGUGAAGGAUGACUGCCCUAUGGGUUGUAAACUUCUUUUAUAUGGGAAUAAAAUGUUCCACGUGUGGGAUUUUGUAUGUACCAUAUGAAUAAGGAUCGGCUAAUUACGUGCCAGCAGCCGCGGUAAUACGGAGGAUCCGAGCGUUAUCCGGUUUUAUUGGGGUUAAAGGGAGCGUAGGUGGAUUGUUAAGUUAGUUGGGAAAGUUUGCGGCUCAACCGUAAAAUUGCAGUUGAAACUGGCAGUCAUGAGUACAGUAGAGGUGGGCGGAAUUCGUGGUGUAGCGGUGAAAUGCUUAGAUAUCACGAAGAACUCCGAUUGCGAAGGCAGUUCACUGGACUGCAACUGACACUGAGGCUCGAAAGUGUGGGUAUCAAACAGGAUUAGAUCCCGUGUAGUC
rnacentral:rRNA from 1 species